CAGUCGCCACGGUAAUACAGAGGGUGCGAGCGUUAAUCGGAUUUACUGGGCGUAAAGCGUGCGUAGGCGGCUUUUUAAGUCGGAUGUGAAAUCCCUGAGCUUAACUUAGGAAUUGCAUUCGAUACUGGGAAGCUAGAGUAUGGGAGAGGAUGGUAGAAUUCCAGGUGUAGCGGUGAAAUGCGUAGAGAUCUGGAGGAAUACCGAUGGCGAAGGCAGCCAUCUGGCCUAAUACUGACGCUGAGGUACGAAAGCAUGGGGAGCAAACAGGAUUAGAUACCCGUGUAGUCCCUGUCUCUUAUAC
rnacentral:rRNA from 1 species